rnacentral:rRNA from 1 species
GACGAACGCUGGCGGCGUGCCUAAUACAUGCAAGUAGAACGCUGAAGGAGGAGCUUGCUUCUCUGGAUGAGUUGCGAACGGGUGAGUAACGCGUAGGUAACCUGCCUGGUAGCGGGGGAUAACUAUUGGAAACGAUAGCUAAUACCGCAUAAGAGUAGAUGUCGCAUGACAUUUGCUUAAAAGGUGCAAUUGCAUCACUACCAGAUGGACCUGCGUUGUAUUAGCUAGUUGGUGAGGUAACGGCUCACCAAGGCAACGAUACAUAGCCGACCUGAGAGGGUGAUCGGCCACACUGGGUCUGAGACACGGCCCAGACUCCUACGGGAGGCAGCAGUAGGGAAUCUUCGGCAAUGGACGGAAGUCUGACCGAGCAACGCCGCGUGAGUGAAGAAGGGUUUCGGAUCGUAAAGCUCUGUUGUAAGAGAAGAACGAGUGUGAGAGUGGAAAGUUCACACUGUGACGGUAUCUUACCAGAAAGGGACGGCUAACUACGUG